GCCACGGUGGUCUAGCGGUUAGAACGCUGGUCUUGUAAUCCUGGGGUCUCGGGUUCGAUUCCGGGCGGUGCCC
rnacentral:tRNA from 1 species